GGAAGUCAUCAAGUGGAUGUAAAAAAUAACACUGCUAGUAAUAGGACCAGCAAAUGCAAAGACCAGAGGAGAAAGACAUCUGCUUUGUUUAAGGGACAGCAAAUAGGUCUCCCUGCUACAGCAGAGUGAAUACCGUGGAAAUGGUAGAAGAGUUUUUAGUUGUAAGGCAAGAAGAGGGACCAACCAUGGAGAGUCUUAGAUGUCAUCGUGGAGAUUUCUAUGGAAGUGAAAUGGAAGCUACAGAAGGCAAUAGAGGCUGAUAUGGUUCACAGCUUUAAUAGUCUGCUGUCUGCUGAGAUAAGAAUUGACUAUAGGACAAAGAGUAGAUCCAGGUAGUGAGAUGUUGUUGCAAUCACCUAGGAAAGAGAUAGGAUGAUUUGAGCUAGAGUGGUAGUGGUGGAUAGAACAAAAUACACACGGCCAAGAAUGAGGAAAGUAGGACAAAACCCAGUGUAGUCAAGAGAGUUAUGACCCGAGGUGUGAGGUAAGAUCUGGCCCUGGGAGUGUUGACUGACACUGCAGUAUUUAGUGUCUAGACUGGAAUGAUUAGAUAUGAAGUGGGUUAACUU
rnacentral:lncRNA from 1 species